AGCUUCAAACCCAACUACACCCUUAACUACCACAACCGCACAACCUCUUAGGGCCCUGUAUAGUUGGUUUUAGGUUGGGGCGACCACGGAGUACAACCAAACCUCCGCAAUGGACGGGACCACUCCCUUAUCUAAGAGCCACACCUCUAAGAAUUAAAACACUAACAUAAAAUGAUCCAUGAUCUGAUCAAUGAACCAAGUUACCCUGGGGAUAACAGCGCAAUCCAUUUCAAGAGCCCUUAUCGACAAGUGGGUUUACGACCUCGAUGUUGGAUCAGGGUAUCCUAGUGGUGCAGCAGCUACUAAUGGUUCGUUUGUUCAACGAUUAAAACCCU
rnacentral:rRNA from 1 species